UUUGGAUGUGCCACGCCAAAUUGUGAUUAUAAGGAAACAAACUGUGUCUACAUGUUGCGGUUUUCUUGGAUGGAGUUUUGGAUUUUUGCUUGCCCUCACCUUGUUCCACUGGCUUCAUGGAUCGUUCCAAGAAGUUUUCCCAGUCUGGAAUAAUUUAGAUCUUUUGACCCCAAAUAAGGUGAAGUGUCUGCUCUGCUCCACAGAGAUAUCUUACAUAUAUAAGAGCACUUCAUCAAGGCUGAGGCAUUAUAGAGCUCGGCAUGGCAAUGAAGAAUUGGCAGAUAGUCGUGGUCACGGGCGUGCCGGAGCCUAUCCCAGCUGUCAUCGGGCAGGAGGCGGGGUACACCCUGAACUGGUUGCCAGCCAAUCGCAGGGCACAUAGAAGCAAACAACCAUUCGCACUCACAGUCAUGCCUACGGGCAAUUUAGAGUCUCCAAUUAAUGCAUGUUUUUGGGAUGUGGGAGGAAACCGGAGUGCCCGGAGAAAACCCACGCAGGCACGGAGAGAACAUGCAAACUCCACACAGGCGGGGCCGGGGAUUGAACCCGGGUCCUCAGCAGAACUGUCCUAACAAGCAAGCAGUGGAUGAGGCUGUGGUCAACAUGAUCAUCGAAGACUGUCAGCCACUCACCAUUGUUGAAAAUGAGGGAUUCAGGGAGCUUCUGAAACUUAUCAACUCGCACUUAAAAAAUGUAUGCUCACCAUCUUCAUCUGCACCCUGUGAAAGAGUGUUUUUCUAAGGCAGGGGAACUGGUGUCUAAGAGGAGAAAUCGCCUUGGAGCAAAGACAGUUUUGUUCCUCAAUAAA